CAGUCGCCGCGGUAAUACGUAGGUGGCAAGCGUUGUCCGGAAUUAUUGGGCGUAAAGGGCUCGCAGGCGGUUUCUUAAGUCUGAUGUGAAAGCCCCCGGCUCAACCGGGGAGGGUCAUUGGAAACUGGGAAACUUGAGUGCAGAAGAGGAGAGUGGAAUUCCACGUGUAGCGGUGAAAUUCGUAGAGAUGUGGAGGAACACCAGUGGCGAAGGCGACUCUCUGGUCUGUAACUGACGCUGAGGAGCGAAAGCGUGGGGAGCGAACAGGAUUAGAUACCCCAGUAGUCCCUGUCUCUUAUAC
rnacentral:rRNA from 1 species